rnacentral:rRNA from 1 species
UACGUAGGGUGCGAGCGUUAAUCGGAAUUACUGGGCGUAAAGCGUGCGCAGGCGGUUUGGUAAGACAGAUGUGAAAUCCCCGGGCUUAACCUGGGAACUGCAUUUGUGACUGCCCGGCUAGAGUGUGUCAGAGGGGGGUAGAAUUCCACGUGUAGCAGUGAAAUGCGUAGAGAUGCGGAGGAACACCGAUGGCGAAGGCAGCCCCCUGGGCCGACACUGACGCUGAGGCGCGAAAGCGUGGGGAGCAAACAGG